rnacentral:rRNA from 1 species
GACGAACGCUGGCGGCGUGCUUAAGACAUGCAAGUCGAGCGCUCCUGAAACAUCGAGGCUUCGGCCUCACCGUUUCAGGGGAGCGGCGGACGGGUGAGUAACGCGUGGGCAACCUGCCCGGGAGACUGGGAUAACACCCCGAAAGGGGUGCUAAUACCGGAUACGAUCCCCCCAUCGCAUGGUGGGGGGAUGAAAGGCGAAAGUCACUCCCGGAUGGGCCCGCGUCCCAUUAGCUAGUUGGUGGGUAACAGCCUACCAAGGCUACGAUGGGUAGCCGGCCUGAGAGGGUGGCCGGCCACACUGGGACUGAGAUACGGCCCAGACUCCUACGGGAGCAGCAGUCGGGAAUCUUGCGCAAUGGGCGAAAGCCUGACGCAGCGACGCCGCGUGGGGGAGGAAGGCGUUUCGGGUUGUAAACCCCUGUCUUCGGGGACGAAAUCUGACGGUACCCGAGGAGGAAGCCCGGCUAACUACGUGCCAGCAGCCGACGGUAAAAUCACGUGUA